UACGGAGGGGGCAAGCGUUGUUCGGAAUUACUGGGCGUAAAGGGCGCGCAGGCGGCUGCUCAAGUCAGGCGUGAAAGGCCUGGGCUCAACCCGGGAAUUGCGCUUGAGACUGGGCUGGCUUGAGUGCGGGAGAGGAUGGUGGAAUUCCCAGUGUAGAGGUGAAGUUCGUAGAUAUUGGGAAGAACACCGGUGGCGAAGGCGGCUAUCUGGACGGUUUCUGACGCUAAGACGCGAAAGCGUGGGGAGCAAACAGG
rnacentral:rRNA from 1 species